rnacentral:tRNA from 1 species
GCCGGUCUAGCAAAGCUUGGUUUAAUGCGCCCGCCUUGAGAGCGGGUGUGUUUCGGCACACGCAGGUUCGAAUCCUGCGGCCGGCGCCA